GCGGGGGGUGGGGGAGGUGCAGGAGUCGGAAAGGCCAAGGGUAGGAGGAGAUGGGCCAGACCUCGGGGCGGACACACAGGAGGCCUGGCUGAGGUCCUGGACCUGCCUCGUAAAUGCUGCUCUGUGCCUGAGGAUGGCCCAGGGGACCCGGAACCACGUCCCGACCCAUGUCCCAUGAGCUGACAGUCUCCAAAAUGCUACCAGGAAUUCACGGAUGCUAACGGGGUGGCCUGAGCAUGCAGGUGGGGGGCGGGCAGGCCACGCCGCCCCCGCGCUGGGGUACCUUCGAGCUCCUAACAGGGCCGUGCUUCUAAAAGUAGACUUUGGACAUACAGAAGCCCACUGCAAGACCAAAGAGACAGAGUGAGGCCGUGAGACACGAACAGCGGGCGUGGAGCACGGAGACGGAGACACAGGACCGACAGGGUGACCACGGACGCACGACGGAGCUGGGAGGCCUGCGGGGCCUCCGUCGGCAGCACCCAGGGCCGAGGAGCACGGCAGGAGAGAGACGGUUAGUGCCGGAAGCCACGUGGACAACCACCACGUGCAGCCUUGCUAGGCCCCAAGCUUAGAACCAGGGACCCCUGGGCUCUGCAGACUGCGGAAGUCGGAGGGAGACCCCGUCCUGGGGCAAAUGUACUGGGAGCAGGUGGGGGACGGGGCAAAGCCAGGCAGACGCCUUUGAGGAGGGACAGAGAACCAGGGCACCCUGAGCAGUAGAAGGGGAGGCUCAGGAGAGACGCGAGGGGCCGGGGCUGCCCAGGAAGGGCCAGGGCUUCCAUGUGCUGGUGGCCACACUGGCCCCGGGACACAGAGGCGCGCCCGGGGGCCCCGCCACUCAUUUCGUGGAUGGAGACACGGGCCCGUCAAGGUAAGCACUAGGCCUCAUGGCCCCAGGGACACGGAUGGGCUGGGGCUGGGGCUGGGGCUGGGGCUGGGGCACCCCUUCCCAAUAGCAAGUGACCUUGCAGGUGACACUCACCUUACCACUGAUGUCACUGACGGCCACGUGGACAAAGAUGGAGGCCUCUUCCAUCCCCUCCAGCUCCCUCGGUAUCCCCAGGCCCACCCGUGGCAGAAGGCAACUUGCAGGAGGAAGCUGAGCCCCACCCUGUCCUGGCGUCCUCUGCUGGCCUGUGGGGGACGCGCUACAGGGGGCACUGGCCCAGGGCUCUGCCCUCCCCCACCCCCACUGGCCCCCUGCCCACCUGGCAUCAUGCUGCUGAAGGCCAGCGUCCUUUGGCCUAUGAAGUCACGCCCAAUGGGGUCAUGGUCCCAGACGAGGAAGCGCACCAGCGCUAUCUCAGGCAUGUGCACCGUGAACACCAGGGUCUCCUCCCACAUGGGGUUGAAUCCUGGAGGCCACCAGGAGGAGGUGUCUGUCACCUUUGCCCCACCCCCACCUCUCAGACAGGCCAGUCCCAUCUGCACCACAGCUCUAGCCUGGAGGCCACACGCCCUUUCCCAGCACCUCCUCCUAGGCUGGCCACCGGCUGAAAGAAGCAACACCGGAAGGCCAGGCGGCUGUCACUGGGCGUCCAGCCGAGGGGGCAUCCUGGACAGUUACGUGGGUCACAGGCGGUGGCCCUCACCCUUCCCUUCCCGGUCAGACUGGUGUCAGCAGCACAGGAGCUGUGACGGGGCCUCCGGGCGCCCCCGGCCCUCCCGCGUCCUCACCGUUGUCGUCCACCACGCGCGUCUGCUCCUUGCUGCAGUCCACGGGGAGCCCAAUGACCUCCACCUCCACGAAGGGGUCGAUGAUCUGGCGCAGAGUGCAGGGUGGCACCGGGGCCCAGGCCAACGGCCCGGCCCUCCCCGGCCCCCCAGGCCCUCCCUCCUACCUCCCCUCGGUCCCCCAGCAUGGAGUCCCGCGGCUUGGGGAGCUGCUGUCCACUGAUGAUCCGAAGCACCAGCUGCUUCUUGAGCUGACCGGGCAAAGGGUCCUCGGAGUUGGGGUUGAAGACGCCUGAGGGGGGCCAGGAUAAACGCUGCACAGCGCAAGCCGAGAGGCCCGUGGGAGGACGGGUCGGGGUUACGACGGGAAGAAACCCACAGGUCGUUUUCGGCACAUCGGGGAGAAAACUGAGGCGACCGAGAAGGGGGGAAGCGCCGGGUGGACCUCACCCAGGGCGCCUCGCCCGGGGCCUCGCGGGGCAGCACGGGGAGGGCCGCAGAUGCCCGGCAGGGUGGCGGCGCUUCCCUGUGCCCCAGCCUGACCCGCCAGCUGGCCUCGCCGUGGCCGCCCCCUGCCACCCCCGUGUCCCCGUCCUGGGGCCACAGCCUCACCCCGGCACAUGCACUGGGGCUUGAGCACGUAGCCACAGCUGCCGUUGGCGCUGAACUUGGCCCGGUUCAGCUGGAGCAUCCGCCCCUCCGACUGGUAGUUCAGGGCGACUGUGGGGAAGGAUGUGAGGUGGCUGGCUCAGCGCCCAGCCCGUGUGUCCCGCCCCGCCGCUUCCCGUGAGCCCGCGUCCACUACGUGAGCAGGGGCCCUGGGGCUCACGUCGGGCACGACCAGGGCUGUGCGUCCCGGCAGGACUUCCCGCAGAGCCGGCACAGCGGCCCCGCGCACCUCAGGAGCCUGGACGCGCACCUGUGUCUUUCCCGCCUUGCCCUGGGGUCCUAAGGCCCCCGCCCCAGCGGCCCCCACCCCGGCGCCAUCCUGGUGAAGUUGGCUGGAUGCCGCGAAGGUUCUCCAGAGCCAAGGGCAAGCGGAGAGGCCGCGGAGAACCCAGCUGCACCCCCUCGCCAGCCCGGCCGCCCCAGGCCCCGGCGCCCACCCAUCUGGCAGCCGGUGUUCCAGAAGGGCUGCGGGUUGUAGUUGCUGGAAUCCACUCGGUAGGAGGAGGGGUAGAUGCGAGAGAGCUGGUGCUGGUUGAAGCGCAGGUACUGAGCCGGCUUCUGCUGCAGGAUCUGCUGGGCCUUGGUCUCGCUGAAGGAAGACACCUGCCAGCUGGACGCCACUGCCGGAACCAGGGCAGAGUCAGGACUGCUGGAGCGCCAGGCCCAGCCGGGCCGUCUGCAGAGGCCAGGACGCUGCGAGGGAAAGGCUUGCAGCCCUGGGGUCCCGGCGCCCACCCUGCAGCCGGGCCUGCCCCCUCUGCAGUGCCCUGCUUGGCCCGGGCCCUGGGUGACCUGCACUCCGGGCGUCGACCAUGGACCGGGGGAGGGCCAUUGAGGCACCUGCUCCAUCCAGCCCCGACCAGGGCCUCAGGAAUCCCAGAGGCCCUCGGUCCUGGAGGAGACCCCCCAGCUCUGGCUGGCGCACGUGGGGAGCCCGGCAGACCUUGCGCUUCGAGACGCUGCGCGAGGAGCCGGCCGUUCUGUCUGCUGGUUCCGGCCUCCUCGGCCUGGGAGGAGAGACAGGCAGCGGGGCUGGGUUGGGAUGGGCAGCUCCCCCCAGAGGCCCCGGGCCGCCUUCCUGGAAGGGAGGGAGCUGGGAGGGGCGUGGAGGAAGUGUGCGGGGAGCAGAGGCCUGAGAACAGCGCUCGCUCGUGCGCCCGUAUCCGCUCCCCACGAUGUGCCGUUCGACACUCCUCCAGUGCCUAGUCUUAAUUUCUUCCCAUGGAUGGUGACGGCCUAAUAAAUGCCGCUUGUGUGUCCGGAACAUU